GACGAACGCUGGCGGCGUGCCUAAUACAUGCAAGUCGAGCGGAACUGGGGGAGCUUGCUCCUUCCAGUUUAGCCGCGGACGGGUGAGUAACACGUGGGCAACCUGCCCUGCAGAUCGGGAUAACUCCGGGAAACCGGUGCUAAUACCGAAUAGUUUGGCGCCUCUCCUGAGGCGCUACGGAAAGACGGUUUCGGCUGUCACUGCAGGAUGGGCCCGCGGCGCAUUAGCUAGUUGGUGGGGUAACGGCCCACCAAGGCGACGAUGCGUAGCCGACCUGAGAGGGUGACCGGCCACACUGGGACUGAGACACGGCCCAGACUCCUACGGGAGGCAGCAGUAGGGAAUCUUCCGCAAUGGACGCAAGUCUGACGGAGCAACGCCGCGUGAGUGACGAAGGUUUUCGGAUCGUAAAACUCUGUUGUGAGGGAAGAACACGUACCAACUAACAAUUGGUACCUUGACGGUACCUCACCAGAAAGCCACGGCUAACUACGUGCCAGCAGCCGCCGUAA
rnacentral:rRNA from 1 species